CAUGCCCAUAGAUCCUAAUCUGCUUUCUGCUAGAACAAGGCAAGAAUCUAACAAUGUCUGACUAGAGCUUGUUCUUGCCACUGCUGUGGCGAAACCACACAUGGAGUCAAUCACAAAGUGAACCGAGAUGUGGUGUGCCAGGGGUGCCUGUUGGGGGUUGUUAUGUAUAAUCACUACACAGACUGCAAACAGCCAAGGCAUCAGAUUCUGCCAAGAAUGAACCAAGUUAUCCAUUUACAACUGUGGUACUCCAAAGCCCUUUCCUUGCUUCAUGGCUCAUCAAUCAUUAAAGCCAGUGACAACUGGACAGCAGUUUUACAUAUCAAAAGGUAAUUUCUCAAAAGCCUCAAAGGACUUUCUGAAAUGCCGGUAUGGAUAAAUAACACAGGUGUAGCUUCUGAAUACUGUAAGACGAUUUUUCCAGUUCUAUGCUAAUAUAAAUCCACAUUGAAUCACACAUUUGUCUAUUUGGUUACCAUGACAAAUAUGUCCAUAUUCCUGUUAAGAUUUACUUAACGAUAUUAGAGAGUGUGUAAUCUGUUUAUUUAUAGCCUUCUCAAAAAAAGAAAGGAAGAAAGGAAGAAAGGAAGAAAGGAAGAAAGGAAGAAAGAAAGAAAGAAAGAAAGAAAGAAAGAAAGAAAGAAAGAAAGAAAAGAA